rnacentral:rRNA from 1 species
UGGGGGAUAUUGCACAAUGGGCGAAAGCCUGAUGCAGCGACGCCGCGUGGGGGAUGAAGGCCUUCGGGUUGUAAACUUCUUUUGCUCCGAACAAGGCGCACCAUGGGGUGUGUUGAGUGUAGGGGUUGAUUAGCGCCGGCUAACUACGUGCCAGCAGCCGCGGUAAUACGUAGGGCGCGAGCGUUGUCCGGAAUUAUUGGGCGUAAAGGGCUUGUAGGUGGCUGGUUGCGUCUGUCGUGAAAGCUCAUGGCUUAACUGUGGGUUUGCGGUGGGUACGGGCUGGCUUGAGUGCAGUAGGGGAGGCUGGAAUUCCUGGUGUAGCGGUGGAAUGCGCAGAUAUCAGGAGGAAUACCGGUGGCGAAGGCGGGUCUCUGGGCUGUUACUGACACUGAGGAGCGAAAGCAUGGGGAGCGAACAGG